AUGACGGGAGCUUGCUCCUUGAUUCAGCGGCGGACGGGUGAGUAAUGCCUAGGAAUCUGCCUGGUAGUGGGGGACAACGUUUCGAAAGGAACGCUAAUACCGCAUACGUCCUACGGGAGAAAGCAGGGGACCUUCGGGCCUUGCGCUAUCAGAUGAGCCUAGGUCGGAUUAGCUAGUUGGUGGGGUAAUGGCUCACCAAGGCGACGAUCCGUAACUGGUCUGAGAGGAUGAUCAGUCACACUGGAACUGAGACACGGUCCAGACUCCUACGGGAGGCAGCAGUGGGGAAUAUUGGACAAUGGGCGAAAGCCUGAUCCAGCCAUGCCGCGUGUGUGAAGAAGGUCUUCGGAUUGUAAAGCACUUUAAGUUGGGAGGAAGGGCAGUAAGUUAAUACCUUGCUGUUUUGACGUUACCGACAGAAUAAGCACCGGCUAACUCUGUGCCAGCAGCCGCGGUAAUACAGAGGGUGCAAGCGUUAAUCGGAAUUAUUGGGCGUAAAGCGCGCGUAGGUGGUUUGUUAAGUUGGAUGUGAAAGCCCCGGGCUCAACCUGGGAACUGCAUCCAAAACUGGCAAGCUAGAGUACGGUAGAGGGUGGUGGAAUUUCCUGUGUAGCGGUGAAAUGCGUAGAUAUAGGAAGGAACACCAGUGGC
rnacentral:rRNA from 1 species